rnacentral:rRNA from 1 species
UGCAAGUCGAGCGGACCGACGGGAGCUUGCUCCCUUAGGUCAGCGGCGGACGGGUGAGUAACACGUGGGUAACCUGCCUGUAAGACUGGGAUAACUCCGGGAAACCGGGGCUAAUACCGGAUGCUUGAUUGAACCGCAUGGUUCAAYCAUAAAAGGUGGCUUUUAGCUACCACUUDCAGAUGGACCCGCGGCGCAUUAGCUAGUUGGUGAGGUAACGGCUCACCAAGGCGACGAUGCGUAGCCGACCUGAGAGGGUGAUCGGCCACACUGGGACUGAGACACGGCCCAGACUCCUACGGGAGGCAGCAGUAGGGAAUCUUCCGCAAUGGACGAAAGUCUGACGGAGCAACGCCGCGUGAGUGAUGAAGGUUUUCGGAUCGUAAAACUCUGUUGUUAGGGAAGAACAAGUACCGUUCGAAUAGGGCGGYACCUUGACGGUACCUAACCAGAAAGCCACGGCUAACUACGUGCCAGCAGCCGCGGUAAUACGUAGGUGGCAAGCGUUGUCCGGAAUUAUUGGGCGUAAAGCGCGCGCAGGCGGUUUCUUAAGUCUGAUGUGAAAGCCCCCGGCUCAACCGGGGAGGGUCAUUGGAAACUGGGGAACUUGAGUGCAGAAGAGGAGAGUGGAAUUCCACGUGUAGCGGUGAAAUGCGUAGAGAUGUGGAGGAACACCAGUGGCGAAGGCGACUCUCUGGUCUGUAACUGACGCUGAGGCGCGAAAGCGUGGGGAGCGAACAGGAUUAGAUACCCUGGUAGUCCACGCCGUAAACGAUGAGUGCUAAGUGUUAGAG